UCUCUUCCAUCUCUCUUACCAUUUUCGUAUCCAUCACCGAGAGCUCCAUCUGCAACUCUUCCGGUCACAUCAACAACAUCAACAGCACCACUGACCAUGAAAUCCUCGUCCACAACUCUUCCGACCACAUCAACAACAUCCACACACACAACCAUGAGAUCCCCGUCCACACUCUUCCGACCACAUCAACAACAUCCACACACACAUUGACCAAGCGAGCUACCAUCGCUUACAUUAAUCACCACCUCCAGUAUCUCCUCUCCCUCUAUUACCACUUUCGUAUCCACCACCGAGAGCCCCAUCCGCAACUCUUCUGGUCACAUCAACACAACCACUGACAACGAGAUCUUCAUCCACAACUCUUCCGACCACAUCAACAAUAUCCACGCACACA
rnacentral:lncRNA from 1 species